UUAAAUUCAGCGGGUAAUCUUGCCUGAUUUGAGAUCAAUAGUUGGAGAUGCACUGUCAACUGCCAGUGCACGCUCAGUCAAACGUUGGUCGUCGUUGCAAGCUGCGUUUGUACCGUUAGUGCGUAGAGAAUCGAAAUGAACUAAUACGCCAGUACGAACAGUGCCAAGCACAACAACGCUACAUUUCAAGCAACCAGUUC
rnacentral:misc_RNA from 1 species